rnacentral:rRNA from 1 species
GAAACUCAAAGUGAAUUGACGGGGCCCGCACAAGCGGUGGAGCAUGUGGUUUAAUUCGACGCAACGCGAAGAACCUUACCAGGGCUUGACAUCCCCUGACCGCGUAUGAAAGUACGUUUCACCUCGGGUGACAGGGAGACAGGUGGUGCAUGGUUGUCGUCAGCUCGUGUCGUGAGAUGUUGGGUUAAGUCCCGCAACGAGCGCAACCCUUGUCAUUAGUUGCCAUCAUUUAGUUGGGCACUCUAAUGGGACUGCCGGUGACAAACCGGAGGAAGGUGGGGAUGACGUCAAGUCCUCAUGGCCCUUAUGGGUAGGGCUUCACACGUCAUACAAUGGUCGGUACAGAGGGUUGCCAAGCCGCGAGGUGGAGCCAAUCCCUUAAAGCCGAUCGUAGUCCGGAUCGUAGUCUGCAACUCGACUACGUGAAGUCGGAAUCGCUAGUAAUCGCAGAUCAGCAUGCUGCGGUGAAUACGUUCCCGGGUCUU